rnacentral:tRNA from 2 species
GAAAUAUGAUGAUCAAAAAAAAGCUGCUAACUUUUUAUUUAGCGGUUAAAUUCCGUUUAUAUUUCU